GAUUCAUCUGUCCAUUUGAACAAAUGAUGACGAUUGUUCUACAACAAUACGACAUUACGUUAAUAUCAGUCGGCUCAAUCAUGAUUCCACUAUAUCUUAAUCUUCUAUCUAUGAUAUCAAAUUCCCUAUCAAAUUCAUUACAAAGACAAAAGAAAACUAACUAACAACAUUCUGGGUUCAUCAUUCAAUCUCUCAGUCUCUGACAUACCUCA
rnacentral:lncRNA from 1 species